CCCUAGCCCUGAUAGAAGCGACAUCCUUUUAUGCGCCUCAGCGAAUAAAAGAUAUAGCGAAUAGCAGGAAUAGCU
rfam:Flavobacterium sp. FPG59 Contig_178, whole genome shotgun sequence.